ensembl:miRNA
CUGAGUCACCUCCAUGGCUCCAGAAAUCAAGAAUGGGUGAGACCUCGUAAGAAAACAUGAAGGCGACCCAUACUUGGUUUCAGGGGCUGUGAGGAUACAGUCAG